UACGUAGGGUCCAAGCGUUUGUCCGGAUUUAUUGGGCGUAAAGAGCUCGUAGGCGGCUCAGUAAGUCGGAUGUGAAAACUCGGGGCUCAACCCCGAGACGCCAUCCGAUACUGCUGUGGCUUGAGUCUGGUAGGGGAACACGGAAUUCCUGGUGUAGCGGUGAAAUGCGCAGAUAUCAGGAGGAACACCGAUGGCGAAGGCAGUGUUCUGGGCCAGUACUGACGCUGAGGAGCGAAAGCGUGGGUAGCAAACAGG
rnacentral:rRNA from 1 species